GAUGAACGCUGGCGGCGUGCUUAACACAUGCAAGUCGAACGGACUUAUGAUGAAGCCUAGCGAUUCAUAAGUUAGUGGCGGACGGGUGAGCAACGCGUGGGUAACCUGCCUUAUACAGGGGGAUAACACUUAGAAAUAGGUGCUAAUACCGCAUAAGCGCACAGUUUCGCAUGAAACAGUGUGAAAAACUCCGGUGGUAUAAGAUGGACCCGCGUCUGAUUAGCUAGUUGGUGAGGUAACGGCCCACCAAGGCGACGAUCAGUAGCCGGCCUGAGAGGGUGAACGGCCACAUUGGGACUGAGACACGGCCCAAACUCCUACGGGAGGCAGCAGUGGGGAAUAUUGCACAAUGGGGGAAACCCUGAUGCAGCGACGCCGCGUGAGUGAAGAAGUAUUUCGGUAUGUAAAGCUCUAUCAGCAAGGAAGAAAAUGACGGUACUUGACUAAGAAGCCCCGGCUAACUACGUGCCAGCCGCCGCAGUAAGAC
rnacentral:rRNA from 1 species